AUAUUGCACAAUGGGCGCAAGCCUGAUGCAGCCAUGCCGCGUGUAUGAAGAAGGCCUUCGGGUUGUAAAGUACUUUCAGCGGGGAGGAAGGGAGUAAAGUUAAUACCUUUGCUCAUUGACGUUACCCGCAGAAGAAGCACCGGCUAACUCCGUGCCAGCAGCCGCGGUAAUACGGAGGGUGCAAGCGUUAAUCGGAAUUACUGGGCGUAAAGCGCACGCAGGCGGUUUGUUAAGUCAGAUGUGAAAUCCCCGGGC
rnacentral:rRNA from 1 species